UCAGACAUUUAUGAUGUGUUCUUCUUCCCAUUCCAAAUGUUUACCAGGUGUGUAAAGUCAAGAAAAUCUAAAUGCCGGGAGCCCAGAACAAACAGGGAAAUGGAACCCUCAGAAAAUGGUUAACUUUCCAGGACAGAGCAAAGAAUGUAUGAUGAGACUCAAUUACAAUGUUCUUGGACUCUACUCCAAAUGGUGGUAAAGAAGAUUUUUCCUAUUCUUUUAUAGAAAUUGCAAGUUCUCAUCCCUCAUUGCAACACAGGUAUCAGAGGCCAGAUCUGGACGGGUCCAGUUGGUGGGACACGGAUGGCAAAGAGAAAAGAGCAUCUGAGAAGGGCACAUUGGCAGCCAAGUGAGAUGCUGACAAUGAAUAUAUAAGACUGCUGCAACGCAGGACUAUUUAGAGUAAGCAAAAAGGAGGUCAUCUCAGAGUCAUGAAGAAUGGGUCAAAUUAUAUUUUCUUUGGGUUGAUAAUAAGAAUGAGGAAUGUGUGGUUAGGAAUGAUUUCUAUCGUAGUUGAGAUUUUUUAAAAUUGUACUUAGCAUGCUAAGUUUCUGCUUUCUGGUGUACCCAUUUAUGGAAAUACCUAUCUGUUAUUUUUCCCACAGGAGGAGUCAUCAGAACAGAUGUUACUCUAACAUUUAUGAGCUGAGAGUUGGAUGUUGUGUUUAAGAAUCUUACUUUUCAGAGUUAACUUCAUCCAACACAAUUCAUUUUAAAAGAACAGAAAUUUCCAUUGUAUUUUCAAUUGUUGCUAUUGUUUUAAUUAACAUUUUAAUUUAAGUGGGCACAUUUCACAUAUGGAACUCAAUUCUCUUUCCAGCAGCCUAAGGGUUCUUGAACUAAUGAGAAAAUUCAAAUCUAUUCAAUGUGGACAGG
rnacentral:lncRNA from 1 species